ACAGGUUCUGUUUCUGCUCUGAAUGAUUUUUAUACGUUUAACUCCAGCAGGGGGCGCUCUGCUCUCCUUCUGUGGGUCUGUGUCCCUUCAGGCCCACGACUGAAGCCCGGUUCUGUCUCAUCUAGAUGGCCCAAAAACUUCUUCAGAACCAGCGAGAAAUUUUUAGUUUUUAACCAUAUUUCCCAGAAUUAAAACUUUUAUAUGAAGGUUUCUGAUACAAAGUGAAACAAACUGGACCCGUCCAGAAAAGGUUCUGCUUCCUUUGACCAGCUGACACCAAGCAGAGUCACUCUGCAGCAGAUUAUUCAGCGUUAUUUAAAUUAUUGCAGUAAUGUACUCAGUAACUGAGCUUUAAUGUUAAGUAUUUUUUAUUUCACUUCAUGCAGUUCUGUAGGAUCCACCUUCAUGUUCUGAAGAACAUCUAAAGCGGGUUAGCUGGACUUUCUUUCAGAGAACAAACAGCCGAGUUUGCUUCUUUGCUGCAGAUGUUCUGGAGGUUCUGUUCUGGAGGUUCUGUUUGAAUACCCGUUAAAAACCUUUUAAUGAAGUUCCUGACAGGUCACCUGACUCACCUGUUAACCUGCUGGAGAAAGUUUUCACCCCUUUAACAGAACCAGAACCGGGUUUGUUUCCUUAAUGCUCUCAUCUGUAAAGGAUUGAAUAAGUUCUGUGAGUUAACAAUGAACUUUCUGUGUUCUGGUUCUGGUUCUAACCCAGCCCAGAGUGGGUUAACCUGUGCAGGAUGCUUCCUACUCAGAACCCAGGAGAUAGUUCAGGUUCCGACUGAACCCACAACGGGUUCCUUCAGUGUUUUCAUGUCAACUUUUCCAAUUUUAAUUUAAUGUUGGGUUCUGCAAAGAUAGAACCCAACAGAGUUGGAUCUCCAGACCCAGCAGGUUCCUGAUGAAGGAACUCUGGAACCAAGUGUUUGCUUCAUCAGAUCUCCAAGAACCCAAACAUCUGGUUCUGUUCAUUUAUGGUCCAAAAUCUGGUUCUAAAGUCUUCCUGAGGUUCCUUCAGUGAAACUCUCCAGACCGACAUGUUCACUGAGGUUCUACUGAGCCGGGUUCCAUCAUCAGAACCACGUAGUGAGCCGGGUUCCAUCAUCAGAACCACGUCUCUGAACAAACCUGAAGCCAUGCUCCCUAAACUCAGACUUUUAUGGAUUUUAAAAACAUGAACUGGUUCUUAAGGUGUUUUUGUUUUCUGGGACUUGGGUUGGUUCUCCAGAACUUGAGCUCCUCUGUUUCUUCAGGAUCUGCUGGAGAAGGUCUUCCAGGACGGACUUCUGACACCUGAGCAGGUUACUGAGUGUCUGCUGGAAGAUCUUCAGCAGGAACUGAAGCUGAAGCUCAGCAGCCCAUCGGUUCUGGAGAGCUGCAGGAGCGUGCACGUGAGCGUGCACGUGAGAAUACCAAAGACUCCAGAACAUUUUCAUCCUUUAAGAGGAAAACAUUUGCCAGAUUUCUUUUUCUGCCUUAAAGUUCCAGUGAAAAUAUGAAUUUAACAGGUUUUAUAUUUUAAAUUUAACUGAAAAUAAAGAUGUUUUUGA